UACGUUGUCUUGAGUUUCAUG
rnacentral:piRNA from 1 species